rnacentral:rRNA from 1 species
GUGGGGAAUAUUGGACAAUGGGCGAAAGCCUGAUCCAGCCAUGCCGCGUGUGUGAAGAAGGUCUUCGGAUUGUAAAGCACUUUAAGUUGGGAGGAAGGGCAGUAAGUUAAUACCUUGCUGUUUUGACGUUACCGACAGAAUAAGCACCGGCUAACUUCGUGCCAGCAGCCGCGGUAAUACGAAGGGUGCAAGCGUUAAUCGGAAUUACUGGGCGUAAAGCGCGCGUAGGUGGUUUUGUAAGUUGGAGGUGAAAUCCCCGGGCUCAACCUGGGAACUGCCUCCAAAACUGCAUGACUAGAGUACGGUAGAGGGUAGUGGAAUUUCCUGUGUAGCGGUGAAAUGCGUAGAUAUAGGAAGGAACACCAGUGGCGAAGGCGACUACCUGGACUGAUACUGACACUGAGGUGCGAAAGCGUGGGGAGCAAACAGGAUUAGACACCCGAGUAGUCC